AGAGUUUGAUCCUGGCUCAGGAUGAACGCUGGCGGCGUGCCUAACACAUGCAAGUUGAGCGAUUUACUUCGGUAAAGAGCGGCGGACGGGUGAGUAACGCGUGGGUAACCUGCCCUGUACACACGGAUAACAUACCGAAAGGUAUGCUAAUACGAGAUAAUAUGCUUUUAUCGCAUGGUAGAAGUAUCAAAGCUUUUGCGGUACAGGAUGGACCCGCGUCCGAUUAGCUAGUUGGUAAGGUAACGGCUUACCAAGGCGACGAUCAGUAGCCGACCUGAGAGGGUGAUCGGCCACAUUGGAACUGAGACACGGUCCAAACUCCUACGGGAGGCAGCAGUGGGGAAUAUUGCACAAUGGGCGAAAGCCUGAUGCAGCAACGCCGCGUGAGCGAUGAAGGCCUUCGGGUCGUAAAGCUCUGUCCUCAAGGAAGAUAAUGACGGUACUUGAGGAGGAAGCCCCGG
rnacentral:rRNA from 1 species